AACAUGCUGACGAGUCAUCACCUCGUAUCCAUACGUUUCCACAAGCUAACGAUGAAUACUGACCGCGGAUUUGUUACGCAAAGUAAGGAACCGAAUUACAAGGCGUACCUCACACUAUAGUAGGUGAGAGAUCGGAGGACGUUUGAUGCAUUUGACUGAUGUGACGAUAUUUCGUAACGGACUGAGGCGUUUAAUGAUUCGUUUUGACCGUUAAAAUUUC